AUUGAACGCUGGCGGCAGGCCUAACACAUGCAAGUCGAGCGGAUGAAGGGAGCUUGCUCCUGGAUUCAGCGGCGGACGGGCGAGUAAUGCCUAGGAAUCUGCCUGGUAGUGGGGGAUAACGUCCGGAAACGGGCGCUAAUACCGCAUACGUCCUGAGGGAGAAAGUGGGGGAUCUUCGGACCUCACGCUAUCAGAUGAGCCUAGGUCGGAUUAGCUAGUUGGUGGGGUAAAGGCCUACCAAGGCGACGAUCCGUAACUGGUCUGAGAGGAUGAUCAGUCACACUGGAACUGAGACACGGUCCAGACUCCUACGGGAGGCAGCAGUGGGGAAUAUUGGACAAUGGGCGAAAGCCUGGUCCAGCCAUGCCGCGUGUGUGAAGAAGGUCUUCGGAUUGUAAAGCACUUUAAGUUGGGAGGAAGGGCAGUAAGUUAAUACCUUGCUGUUUUGACGUUACCAACAGAAUAAGCACCGGCUAACUUCGUG
rnacentral:rRNA from 1 species